AGGACACAAACAAGGCAAUGAGCAGCACAGCAGCGUGACGUCACUUCUGCCCUGACGAAGGUAACAGGAAGAAGGGCAGAAUGAACCUGGGAACGGCGUUUUUACUGCGGUUUGACAAAUUAGACAGAAGUGACUUAUUUGGAGCAAUUUCAGCCAUCUUGAAAAAUACACAUUUUGGCACAGUCUGGUUACACUGAUAGAUUGUGGCAAUAGCCUGUCUGAUAGCAUGAACCAGAUGCCUAUCCUUGAGGAAGCCCUUCUGAUUAGAGUAAUAGGUGCAUCUAAAAUUUCCCUAUCUUGGACAGUGAGUUUGUUCAGAUGGGCUUCCUGAAGAAAUCGGAGACCGGCCUCAGGAGAGUCAGAAACUCAUUGGUAAAGUGUUUUGAAAUGUGUUGUCAUUAAUGUGGCAAUGUCUUAUGUAUCGCGCGCCCACCCCAUGGGUAUUUUAAGUUUCUGAAUAAAAGUGUUGCCUUGUUGUCUUUUGAUUAUAUUUGCUAACAGUUUCCCUGAUUUGUUUCCUCAGCGGUAAUAUCUGUUUGCCGUGUGACUUCAUUUAUGUUGCAUUUGCUCUGUCAAUAAAGUGUUGAAAAGA